GGUCAUGGUCAAAAUGUCAAAGGGUCCGAGUCAAAGUGUCAAACUCAAAGGGUCAAAGAGUCAGAGUCAAAGGGUCAGUGUCAAAGAGUCAGUCAAAGAGUCAACGGGGGAGGGUCAACGGGCCAGGGUCAAAUGUUCAGAGUCAACGGGUCAGAGUCCAUGGGUCAAAGGGUCAGUCAAAGGGUCAGAGUCAAAGAGUCAAUGUG